GAUGAACGCUGGCGGCGUGCCUAAUACAUGCAAGUCGAGCGAACGGACGAGAAGCUUGCUUCUCUGAUGUUAGCGGCGGACGGGUGAGUAACACGUGGAUAACCUACCUAUAAGACUGGGAUAACUUCGGGGAAACCGGAGCUAAUACCGGAUAAUAUUUUGAACCGCAUGGUUCAAAAGUGAAAGACGGUCUUGCUGUCCCUUAUAGAUGGAUCCGCGCUGCAUUAGCUAGUUGGUAAGGUAACGGCUUACCAAGGCAACGAUGCAUAGCCGACCUGAGAGGGUGAUCGGCCACACUGGAACUGAGACACGGUCCAGACUCCUACGGGAGGCAGCAGUAGGGAAUCUUCCGCAAUGGGCGAAAGCCUGACGGAGCAACGCCGCGUGAGUGAUGAAGGUCUUCGGAUCGUAAAACUCUGUUAUUAGGGAAGAACAUAUGUGUAAGUAACUGUGCACAUCUUGACGGUACCUAAUCAGAAAGCCACGGCUAACUACGUG
rnacentral:rRNA from 1 species